CAGCCGCCACGGUAAUACGUAGGGUGCGAGCGUUAUCCGGAUUUACUGGGCGUAAAGAGCGCGUAGGCGGUCUGUUAAGUGUAGAGUGAAAGCUCUGGGCUCAACUCGGAAAUUGCUCUGCAUACUGGCAGACUUGAGGAUGGAAGAGGUUUGUGGAAUUCCUGGUGUAGCGGUGAAAUGCGUAGAUAUCAGGAGGAACACCCAUGGCGAAGGCAGCAAACUGGUCCAUAUCUGACGCUGAGGCGCGAAAGCGUGGGUAGCAAACAGGAUUAGAUACCCCCGUAGUCCCUGUCUCUUAUAA
rnacentral:rRNA from 1 species